GGUGGAGUACAGGAGUCGACAGGAGAGCGAUCUGCGGUUGAUUUAGUGGGUCUUCACUAGACCCGCUAAAUUGAUCGCCGAUGCAUUGAUCGUGGCAUGUCGAUCCCCCGGUAAGUGUAGACAAGCCUAGUGCAGAUGAGUGCUCCUCUG